rnacentral:lncRNA from 1 species
GUUAAUUUGGCUACAAGUUUAUAGUUAAAAUUCAUCUCUUUGAAAGUCCAUUUUGAUUUUAUUGACUUUUUUUCUGUUGUUUGUGUUAUCAGUUUCAUUGAUUUCUGCUCAAAUUUUAUUAUUUUCCCCCUUAGGUUUACUUUUGAUUUAAUUUGUUCAUAUUUUUUUCUGUUUUCCUAAGGCAGAAGCAACAUUAUUGAUGUUAGAUGCCACUUUUCCUCUUUGCAUUCAAUGCUGUAAAUUUCCCUCUGAGCACUGCUUUCAGUCUAACCAACAAAUUUUGAUAAGUUGAAUUUUAAUUUUAUUUCAACUCUUCUCAGACUUCUUUAACCUAGAGGAGCAAGGAUAAACAUUUAAGAAUAUGUUUAAUUUAGAACUAUGUUUUAAAUUUGUACUGGGGCUUUCCAAUUAUUUUUCUUCAUUAGGGUAAGUAGUUACUUGAGAACAGUCCAUACUGUUACAUAGUUAUACAUAGUAUAAGAGUAACACAAAACCACUAUCAGUGCUAAAACCACUAACAGUAUUCUACUAAUUACAAAAAAAAUCAUAAUAGGUUAAAAAUCAUGUACAUAAUCUACUGCUAUUAAAAUUUAAAAUUCCGCAGAUUCCUUUGGAAUUUUACAUUCUUUUUAUUGGAAUUUGUUCAUUUCAUAGUAAUACUAAAGAUAUAAAUUAAGAUUAUUUUAAGCCUUUAUUCUGUUCUAUCAUUUUAUCUUCUUUCUCAUCCUUAAAAUAAUUUAUGGACAGCCACUGGUGUUUUUCUCAUAUCCUGUCGUCCUUGGCUGUCUGCUUACAUUUAUGAAUGAAGAACUACAUCAAUUACAGAAGGCUGCUCAGAAUUUCUUUUGGCAACCAUGGAAUUCUAUUUCUUCAUCUCACUUGAGUAAACAAGUUGAUCACAACCUCUAAAUGAGAAGCUUUGAUAGAUCCUAAGACACACAUCUAAGAAGCAGGCAGGAAAUCGGGGGUAUUUUUAUCUCUAUUCUUGACAGAAUGAGGAAAACUUGACUCUGGGCAUCAACAUUGACAAGUAGCAAACCUAACUCUUCCUGUGUCUAGUUCACAUCACACUUAACCCUGAGAAAAGAGCCACCACAGAAAGGCUCUGUGUGUGUGUGUAUGUGUGUGUAUAUGUGUGCGUGCACAUGUGUGUGAAGACAUGCAACUCAUGGUCUUGCAAUCCAUGAUGUUGAUCUCCCUCUCUUCCCAUUCUCAUUUCCCAUAUGAUUUUGCAACAAGAUUAGGUUCUUAAAAACACUUCAGAAGUGAGAGGCUUGCACCUCCUCUAACACUAUUUUCUAUGCACACUCCAGGUAUGAAUAACACUGAUUUAUGUGUAAAUGAUUCAAAAUGUCUCUCGUUUUCUACAUAUUUAUCAGUACUUCUGACCUGAUGUAGGAUCACUUCCCUCUCUCAGAUCUCUUAUAAAUAAACUUGUACUUAUUUACUUAUUUAUAAACUUAUACAUUACUUUUUUGGAAGAAAAUAAAACAUAAAUUAUGUCUUCAGUUGCUAUCUUGAACUUGAAGAAUCACACAACCUUUCCACAAGCAUUAAAUAUAUUAAAUAUACCCUAUUUUUAAUGAUAUCUUAAUAUUCCAUUUAGUAAGGGUUCCAUCAUUUAUUUAUUUCCUGAUUUUGUUUAUUUAUUAUCUUCUCAUUUUUUGCUCUUAAACAUGAAAUAAUGAAUUUAUUUUUUUGUUAUUCAAGUAGUAUCUGCCUUCAUUUAAAUUACUUUCUUUGGACCAAUUCCCAGAAGUAGGAUUACUGAGUCAAAGGAGAUAUUUAUUUUUAUGACUCAAAUGGUUUUCCCAAGGAGUUAUGCCAACUUACAAUGACACCAAUAAUAAAUGAG